UACAACCAGAGAGCACAUAAACUUUCUCAGCAGACAAUUUGCGAGCAAAGGAAGAGUUGAGGAAAAAAGUAUGGGUGCCUACAAGGUUAUCCUUGCUUUGGCACUGACCGCUCUCCUCGCCGGGCAUGUCUUUACCGGAGCUGUCGUUCGAGGUGACGAGCCCCAGAGCACACCCAUCCUUGAGAGUGGAAGAAAGGCAUCGUCUGAAGCCCGUGCUGGCGGCAUCAUCGACGAGAAGGCUUUCAACGCUCCACAGGGUUAUUUUCAUCCACCACGCCUUGCGCCUUGCCGCGGCAAGAUCUGUUGACGACCUCGUCGUUGAGAUCUGCUGCUGCGUUUGGUUCCAAUCAAGAAUUUCAUGGCCUUAUACGGAGUAUAUCUACCCCUACUCGUGUUAUAUUCUUCGUCCCACACACAUUGUAAUAAGUUUAGCGUACUUCCACUGAUGCUUGAGAUGAUCAAUUAAGGUAGUACCCGCGAUGUCUUAGAUAAUUUAAGAUGGGAAAAUAUGUGAUGCAAACUCAAUGGUACGUGAAAAUAUGGAAACUUGCCUCUUGAAGCAUCUGGUUAA